CAAUCUGAGGUCAGAGGAGACCAGAUCAUCACCUAAUACGUCAUUCAUCUUUAAAGCAGAUGGGCUGCAGAAAACCACACUCCUGCCACUUCAUUAGAUGUCCUGUGUACCUAAUAAAGUGGACGUUUGAAGCUGCAGAGAACCUGAUCAGUGUUUCUGGCGUGGAGAAAUCCGUUGCCCCUCACCACCACCUGGAACGUCUCUGUGACGAAAAGCAAAAGACACAAGGCGAUGUCAAAGGAAUGGGUUUUUUACAAGACACCAAAAGCAAAUUCUAGGUAAGUCCCAAAUAUUGAAUAUAUGAAAUAAUAAUUUAGAUAAGGUUCAGUGUGUGACAAUUAGGCACUUAAGGAAAGGGCUGUGCUUUACCAGCUUGUGCUGCUGCUAUGUUUCUACAGCAGUCAGAACACAAACCAAAAAAUAAGGAGGAGAAAAGCUGCAGAAAGAGUGGAGAGAGUUGUGAAGGAGUGUUUACAUCUUUUCUGGUAUGCAAAGGCCACCGUAGUUCCCUGAUAUGAUACGUUCU